GUCCAGGGGCGGGAAUCGAACCCACAACCUUCUGCUUACCGGUCAGGUGCCAUGUCCACUAGGCUACCCUGGA
rnacentral:tRNA from 1 species